UGAGUGACCUGCCGAUUUGUGGGGGAUAGCCGGGCCAACGCCCGGGUAAUACCGCGUACGACCUUUUGGGGACAUCCCCGAUUGGUGAAAGCAGCAAUGCGCCGAAAGAGUGCCUCGCGGCCUAUCAGCUAGUUGGUGGGGUAAUGGCUCACCAAGGCGACGACGGGUAGCUGGUCUGAGAGGAUGGCCAGCCACAUUGGGACUGAGACACGGCCCAGACUCCUACGGGAGGNAG
rnacentral:rRNA from 1 species